UACGGGGGGAGCAAGCGUUGUUCGGAUUUACUGGGCGUAAAGGGCGCGUAGGCGGUCAGCACAAGUCAGUUGUGAAAUCUCCGGGCUUAACUCGGAAAGGUCAACUGAUACUGUGCGACUAGAGUGCGGAAGGGGCAACUGGAAUUCUCGGUGUAGCGGUGAAAUGCGUAGAUAUCGAGAGGAACACCUGCGGCGAAAGGCGGGGUUGCUGGGGCCCGACACUG
rnacentral:rRNA from 1 species